rnacentral:misc_RNA from 1 species
AAUCCAUGGCGGUAGUUUCUCCAGCCCUUCACAACAACAAAAUUCCAAAUUUUUAAUUUGACUAUCAGCGAGGUUCUCGUGCAACAACUCAUCACGUUUAGCGAUGUCUUCAAAAAGCACCCAUUGUGGACAAUAGAGAGGAUGGAAAUAAUUUUUACCAACAGUGAUGCUUUUAUAGUUAGAAUUAUUACCAACAGUCAAGCUUUUCAACUUUCUUAAGCCUUGCUUCAACUCUUCCGAUCCAAAUAAAAAUGAUUCUACUUUACUAACCAUCAAGAAGUUUGCUGCGCUAAAACCUCUACCUAAUUCAACCUUUCUGCAUCCUUGGAUUUGGAAGUGAGAUAUGAUAGGAAGGUUUUGAAAUGAAACCACCAAUCCAUAACAUUUUCCAAUCUCAAGCGUUUGCAAUGAAGGCAGAUCGCUGGGUAAUUCUCCGAACAGUUCGGGACAAUUAACAAUGGAAAGCUCGCGCAGAAGACGGAAUUUACACCCACAAAUAUUCCACUCUUUCCAUUCUUUCAUGUCCUCAAAGCGUAGAGUCUCAAGAGCUGGAAAAGGAUUUGAACUGCUCAUACUCCCCCAACAAAACUCACGAUCAACCGCUCUUACACUGGGAAACCCUUUGAUAACCAAGUCCUU